CUCGUAGGCGGCCAACUAAGUCAGACGUGAAAUCCCUCGGCUUAACCGGGGAACUGCGUCUGAUACUGGAUGGCUUGAAUCCGGGAGAGGGAUGCGGAAUCCCAGGUGUAGCGGUGAAAUGCGUAGAUAUCUGGAGGAACACCGGUGGCGAAGGCGGCAUCCUGGACCGGCAUUGACGCUGAGGAGCGAAAGCCAGGGAGCAAACG
rnacentral:rRNA from 1 species